UGAGUUAAUUAGAGAUAUGAGCAUUCUAAAGUUUAUCACAAUUGUAGAUAGGCAACAUUUUGGCAUUGUGACUACAUCUCAACUCCUUAGAGACAAAUAGAACUGUCCACCACUAACAGCGGCUGUGGUGAGCAGGGCUCAUAUAUGUGCUACGCAGAAAAGACAGGACUUUCCCAUGACCUAAAGACACUCAGCAAAAUGACCACAGAUGGUUUAUACCAGAAAAGCUGGAAAAAUUAUAUAAAGUCCUGUGAAAAACCUUAGUUUGGAAAAAAAAUAAGCAGAAGCAAAUAAAUAAGAGGUCACCAGCGAGCUCCAGAUUAAAGGAGGUCUCUCUGAAUCACCCUUUCUGAGAUUUUAGCAUAUGGACUUUCAAAUCACAAAGUUCUGGAGAGAAGAUGAGAACCACAGAACAUAGAGGCGUUCCCAGUUUUCAGGCCCAAGAACCACUGAAAAAGUUAAAUGAUCAUUGCAUCCAUUUCACCUCCCGGUGGAACUCCUCCUUCAAAGUUGUUGUUUCAAGAAAACUAAGUAUUUACAAUCAUGCUAUGUGGUGGGUGCAGCAUUCAAAUGGGACAUCUCAUCACCUGUUUGCCUCUCUGAAGCUCUGAAGGUGUCUUUCCUAGGAAGUUGUCAACGUAAUUAAAUCAGACAAACCUCAGGGUUACCAUUGCUUUUGACAGUGUGGAGUUACAAUGUGACAGACUUUGACUCUGCAGGAGGAUUCCACAGCAGCUUCCAUCAUUUCUAAGCUUCUACUAUACCCAAGCUUCUAUCACACACUAAGCAAUGUGAUCUCCCAUUACACAGCAUACUAAACUCUCUAUACAGGAAAUCAAACUUUCCUACAUUGUACGAACACAUCAUUCGUUUGUUUCGGCUUUCAAGUCUUUAUGCUUUCUUUUAUUUCCACUUGUAUUGCCUGUCAUAUUAUCCUCUUCAACUACCCAGGUUCCUGCCAAACUUAAAAAUUCACUUCCUUGAAAAUGCCUCAAAGGUUAUCUAUGUAUUAUUUUUUAGAGUUUGCUUUCUAUGUGUCACUGUUUCAAUCAUUUUAUGCACAUAUUAUUAUUUCUGACUUCUCAAAAAGAAAGUGGAGAAUAAUUAUUCCUAUUUAAGAGUUGAGAAAAUUUGGCUCAGAGCAGUGAAUAACUUACCUAAGUGUGCACUGGGAGUGAGUGGAGAAACCAGUUUUGAAAGAAUUCAGUCUAAUUUAAAGAUUAAACUCAUUCCUACCUUACUCAUCAUCCUAUCAGGGCUAUAGUGCACACACAUGCACUCACACAUACACAGAAGUGUUCAUGCACAUAAAGUCUUAUAUAACUGAUACAAUUAAUAACACAUUUUUGUUUAAUAAUAACAAUACGUAUAUGUUCUUACAUCACUUUCCUGUGCAAUGGGAUCCAUUUCUCUCAAGAAGGUAUGAAUGACAUUUCCUUAAGCAACUGCAGAGAACCCUCUUAGCAAAUGGAGUGGUCUCUUGGUUAAUAGUGCGGAUUUCAAAAUCAGACUGCAUUCUACCACUAGCAACUUUACAGCAUUGCCAAAGGACUUGGCCUCAGAGCUUCAGUUUUGUCACUUUGAAAUACCAAUAAACUUUUUUGAAAAUUAGUUGAGAUAACA
rnacentral:lncRNA from 13 species